AGAGUUUGAUCCUGGCUCAGAGCGAACGCUGGCGGCAGGCUUAACACAUGCAAGUCGAGCGGGCAUUUUCGGAUGUCAGCGGCAGACGGGUGAGUAACACGUGGGAACGUACCCUUCGGUUCGGAAUAACGCUGGGAAACUAGCGCUAAUACCGGAUACGCCCUUUUGGGGAAAGGUUUACUGCCGAAGGAUCGGCCCGCGUCUGAUUAGCUAGUUGGUGGGGUAACGGCCUACCAAGGCGACGAUCAGUAGCUGGUCUGAGAGGAUGAUCAGCCACACUGGGACUGAGACACGGCCCAGACUCCUACGGGAGGCAGCAGUGGGGAAUAUUGGACAAUGGGCGCAAGCCUGAUCCAGCCAUGCCGCGUGAGUGAUGAAGGCCUUAGGGUUGUAAAGCUCUUUUGUCCGGGACGAUAAUGACGGUACCGGAAGAAUAAGCCCCGGCUAACUUCGUGCCAGCAGCCGCGGUAAUACGAAGGGGGCUAGCGUUGCUCGGAAUCACUGGGCGUAAAAGGGCGCGUAGGCGGCCAUUCAAGUCGGGGGUGAAAGCCUGUGGCUCAACCACAGAAUUGCCUUCGAUACUGUUUGGCUUGAGUAUGGUAGAGGUUGGUGGAACUGCGAGUGUAGAGGUGAAAUUCGUAGAUAUUCGCAAGAACACCGGUGGCGAAGGCGGCCAACUGGACCAUUACUGACGCUGAGGCGCGAAAGCGUGGGGAGCAAACAGGAUUAGAUACCCUAGUAGUCC
rnacentral:rRNA from 1 species